UACGGAGGGUGCAAGCGUUAUCCGGAUUCACUGGGUUUAAAGGGUGUGUAGGCGGAUAUGUAAGUCCGUGGUGAAAUCCUGCAGCUUAACUGCAGAACUGCCAUGGAUACUAUUUAUCUUGAAUGUCGUGGAGGUUAGCAGAAUAUGUCAUGUAGCGGUGAAAUGCUUAGAGAUGACAUAGAAUACCCAUUGCGAAGGCAGCUAACUACGCGAAUAUUGACGCUAAUGCACGAAAGCGUGGGGAUCAAACAGG
rnacentral:rRNA from 1 species